CGCUGAUUCCGUUUAAUGAUCAAAAACCUCGAGUCGACAGUUUGGUGACGAUAAAUAAUUAUAGAUCUUUUGGAUUAUUUUUAAUUUGUUAUAUCACGAAAGUCUGUAAUCGUGCUUCAUAAUAUUAAGGCAUCCGAAGCCACAGUAUAGAGAUAUUAUAAAAAUGUAAAACGUACACAGGAUUGAAUCGAAGAUCAAGGCUUUUUCAUUUAUUACAAGGUGGAGCUUUGGAGGUGCCGGUCUACGGCUACCAACAACAUUAGUUGGUUUUAUAAUUAAGUAUCGAUGUGAUUUUCCUUUGAUUAGAUGACCAAAGUAUUAAUCAUAUUAAAAUGAUGAAUGACACGGACAAAUACACAAUGCACGAAGUUGAGAAACGUAUUGGUGUGAACAGAAAGUACAAUCAUUACAUAAACAUAACGUUAAUAUUAUUCGUUUUUGUGCAAUUACUACGAAUUUCCACAGCAUUUAAUGUUCGCCCAACAGGGUGCACUCAAAAUGAACAAUGCACAGCUGGUUAUUAUUGUAAUACAUACACAUAUGUUUGUAAUAAAUGCAUAAAUUGUCAACAAGGACGUGAAUUUGUCAUGGAGAAUACUACACCAAAUAACAGAUCAAAUAAUUGUACAUCUUUCGGUUGUGGGCCAUUGCUUCGAAGAGAAAGCAAAGCUGAUCGAAGUAUGGCUAAUACAACAAUGGACGGUUUGACACUACGAGAGCUUAAUGUGUCAAAAUAUGUCAAUCUACAUGUGAUCGUUUGGAUUAUCGCGACUUGUGCUGGCGUUGUGAUUAGUUUUAUUUUCUUUUGUACUUUGAGUACUAUGUAGUAAUUUAUAAUUAAUCUGCUGAAAUGCCAAAACAUUGUACCAAAAAUACGUUCAUAAUGCAUUUUAAAUGUAGAAUAUUUCGAAGGAAUAAGGACAUAUGAAAAAUAAUUGUUAAUAUUUACGGUUGGAUACUCAACAAAGUAACUAUAAAAGUAUCUAGUUUUGUUAUGAUGUCUAAAUAUAGAUUCAAAACUUUUUUUUGUUUAUGUUUUUUUAUAAAAAUCAAUUUUUUUUGUCAACAUCGUACUAUAUCAAUCUCGUUAUUAUUAUAAUUUUUUAGAAACAACGUGCUCGUUGAAAAAUACAAAUUUGUCAUACGUAAGAAUAAUGAUCCAUUGUAAUUUUACAACAUUUCAGUAUUCAAAAUAAUAUUAAUUUGAGUAGAUUA